rnacentral:rRNA from 1 species
UGGAGCUUCAAACCCAACUACACCCUUAACUACCACAACCGCACAACCUCUUAGGGCCCUGUAUAGUUGGUUUUAGGUUGGGGCGACCACGGAGUACAACCAAACCUCCGCAAUGGACGGGACCACUCCCUUAUCUAAGAGCCACACCUCUAAGAAUUAAAACACUAACAUAAAAUGAUCCAUGAUCUGAUCAAUGAACCAAGUUACCCUGGGGAUAACAGCGCAAUCCAUUUCAAGAGCCCUUAUCGACAAGUGGGUUUACGACCUCGAUGUUGGAUCAGGGUAUCCUAGUGGUGCAGCAGCUACUAAUGGUUCGUUUGUUCAACGAUUAAAACCCU